GGUUCUGAUAUUGCUGCAGAGCUUAAAUGCCUCUUGCGCUUGUUGACAGUUUGUUGGCAUUUCUCCAAAAAACCUUUCCCAUUAUUCUUGGAGGAGACAGGCUAUUCCCAAGAAAGUGUACUACUACAAGAACCCAAAGCUGGAAUUCUGAAGCCAGCUUUUACAAUACUCGCAGACCACCGAUCAAGAUCUUUCCUCCUUGUAAUACGUGGAACUCAUAGUAUUAAAGAUACUUUGACUGCUGCUACUGG
rnacentral:misc_RNA from 1 species